AAGAUACUCCCUCCGUCCCAAAAUUCUUGUCUUAGAUUUGUCUAAAUACGGAUGUAUCAAGUCACGUUUUAGUAUUAGAUACAUCCGUAUCUAGACGAAUCUAAGACAAAAUUUUUGGGACGGAGGGAGUACUAU
rnacentral:pre_miRNA from 1 species